UGUAGAGUUUGCCAAUGUAGCCAAGGUUGGAGAACUCCAGCAUUGCCCAGGUCGUCGUCUUAGCUUCUUGCUCCUCCACACGCUUUUUUACGGUUGUGAGGAAGUUCUUUGCGGAGGAGACGUCGUCCUCCAGCUGGAGCCAGUUGACAUCGGAAUCUGCCAGCAGAACUACAACCACCAUGGAGGAGUGCUCUUCAGGAGAUGAUCGAGAGAAGAGGGAUACUAACGUGGGGAUCAGAUAGCUGCCCUUCUUCCUCUUCACCGACGAUAGUCCAAUGCAUAGAUGCCCUAUCGGGAAGAAGAAGAGCAUGUAACCUUUUAAAUCACGUCAUACUACAUAUCUGAGUUAUUUCAUUAUAUUUUACAUUUAGAAUCAAUUUUACAGCCGGUUCAUGCCCCCAACACCCUGAGUAAUGGUUUAAGCCAAAAUCUACAUUGACAUCAGCUAUUGCGCAAACAAUAACUGCUGUGGUAUGUAAAGUGUUUGGUGGUAUGUAAAGUGUUCAGUGGUCCAUAUUUAGACGAAAUGGAAAGAAAACGUACUCAUUUGAGUGACUGGUAUCCCUGCAAGCAGUUGAUAGGUCACAUUGAGAGGCAGGUAAUCUCCUUGCUCCACCCAUGACUCCAUACUGACCAUCCUUUCUGCCUUCCAUGCGAUGUUCAUUGGUUCCUCUGACCUGUUCGGG